rnacentral:rRNA from 1 species
AGAGUUUGAUUAUGGCUCAGGAUGAACGCUGGCGGCGUGCUUAACACAUGCAAGUCGAACGAGAACCAUUGGAUCGAGGAUUCGUCCAAGUGAAGGUGGGGAAAGUGGCGGACGGGUGAGUAACGCGUGAGCAAUCUGCCUUGGAGUGGGGAAUAACGGCUGGAAACAGCCGCUAAUACCGCAUGAUACAGCUGGGAGGCAUCUCCCUGGCUGUCAAAGAUUUAUCGCUCUGAGAUGAGCUCGCGUCUGAUUAGCUAGUUGGCGGGGUAACGGCCCACCAAGGCGACGAUCAGUAGCCGGACUGAGAGGUUGGCCGGCCACAUUGGGACUGAGACACGGCCCAGACUCCUACGGGAGGCAGCAGUGGGGAAUAUUGGGCAAUGGGCGCAAGCCUGACCCAGCAACGCCGCGUGAAGGAAGAAGGCUUUCGGGUUGUAAACUUCUUUUGUCAGGGACGAAGCAAGUGACGGUACCUGACGAAUAAGCCACGGCUAACUACGUGCCAGCAGCCGCGGUAAUACGUAGGUGGCAAGCGUUAUCCGGAUUUAUUGGGUGUAAAGGGCGUGUANGCGGGAAUGCAAGUCAGAUGUGAAAACUAUGGGCUCAACCCAUAGCCUGCAUUUGAAACUGUAUUUCUUGAGUGCUGGAGAGGCAAU